rnacentral:rRNA from 1 species
UACGUAGGGGGCGAGCGUUGUCCGGAUUUAUUGGGCGUAAAGAGCGUGUAGGCGGCCAGGUAGGUCUGCUGUGAAAACUCGAGGCUCAACCUCGAGACGUCGGCGGAAACCAUCUGGCUAGAGUCCGGAAGAGGAGAGUGGAAUUCCCGGUGUAGCGGUGAAAUGCGCAGAUAUCGGGAAGAACACCCGUGGCGAGGGCGGCUCUCUGGGACGGUACUGACGCUGAGACGGCGAAAGCGUGGGGAGCCGAACAGG